AAAGUCGUAACAAGGUAACCGUAGGUGAACCUGCGGUUGGAUCAUUAAUAAAUGAAUUGGUUUUAUACCAAAACAUUGUGUGCAAUCAUAUCUGUCUCUGGUGGUUAAUGUUUCUUGUUUCGCUGGAUUUUUUUUCAGUGGGGCGAGAACGCACUACCACCAAUUGAAUACACAAACCUUUGUAUUUUUUUUUAUGUCUGAAUCAUUCACUUUUGUGCAAUGAAAAAACAACUUUUGACAACGGAUCUCUUGGCUCUC
rnacentral:misc_RNA from 1 species